rnacentral:rRNA from 1 species
UACAGAGGUCCCAAGCGUUGUUCGGAUUCAUUGGGCGUAAAGGGUGCGUAGGCGGAUUGUUAAGUCAGGGGUGAAAUCCUGGAGCUCAACUCCAGAACUGCCUUUGAUACUGGCGAUCUCGAGUCCGGGAGAGGUGAGUGGAACUGCGAGUGUAGAGGUGAAAUUCGUAGAUAUUCGCAAGAACACCAGUGGCGAAGGCGGCUCACUGGCCCGGUACUGACGCUGAGGUGCGAAAGCGUGGGGAGCAAACAGG